rnacentral:rRNA from 1 species
CUGGCUCAGGACGAACGCUGGCGGCGUGCCUAAUACAUGCAAGUCGAGCGGACCUCUUCGGAGGUCAGCGGCGGACGGGUGAGGAACACGUGGGUAAUCUGCCUUUCAGACCGGAAUAACGCCCGGAAACGGGCGCUAAUGCCGGAUACGCCCGCGAGGAGGCAUCUUCUUGCGGGGAAAGGCCCAAAUGGGCCGCUGAGAGAGGAGCCCGCGGCGCAUUAGCUGGUUGGCGGGGUAACGGCCCACCAAGGCGACGAUGCGUAGCCGACCUGAGAGGGUGACCGGCCACACUGGGACUGAGACACGGCCCAGACUCCUACGGGAGGCAGCAGUAGGGAAUCUUCCGCAAUGGGCGCAAGCCUGACGGAGCAACGCCGCGUGAGCGAAGAAGGCCUUCGGGUUGUAAAGCUCUGUUGCUCGGGGAGAGCGGCAUGGGGAGUGGAAAGCCCCAUGCGAGACGGUACCGAGUGAG